rnacentral:rRNA from 1 species
CCUACGGGAGGCAGCAGUGAGGAAUAUUGGUCAAUGGACGAGAGUCUGAACCAGCCAAGUAGCGUGAAGGAUGACUGCCCUAUGGGUUGUAAACUUCUUUUAUAUGGGAAUAAAAUGUUCCACGUGUGGGAUUUUGUAUGUACCAUAUGAAUAAGGAUCGGCUAACUCCGUUCCAGCAGCCGCGGUAAUACGGAGGAUCCGAGCGUUACCCGGAUUUAGUGGGUUUAAAGGGAGCGUAGGUGGAUUGUUAAGUCAGUUGUGAAAGUUUGCGGCUCAACCGUAAAAUUGCAGUUGAAACUGGCAGUCUUGAGUACAGUAGAGGUGGGCGGAAUUCGUGGUGUAGCGGUGAAAUGCGUAGAUAUCACGAAGAACUCCGAUUGCGAAGGCAGCUCACUGGACUGCAACUGACACUGAGGCUCGAAAGUGUGGGUAUCAAACAGGAUUAGAUACCCCUGUAGUC